rnacentral:rRNA from 1 species
GAUGAACGCUGGCGGCGUGCUUAACACAUGCAAGUCGAACGGAAAGGCUCCUGCUUGCCGGGGUACUCGAGUGGCGAACGGGUGAGUAACACGUGGGUGAUCUGCCCUGCACUUCGGGAUAAGCCUGGGAAACUGGGUCUAAUACCGGAUAGGACCGCAUCUUGGAUUGUGUGGUGGAAAGUUUUUCGGUGUGGGAUGAGCUCGCGGCCUAUCAGCUUGUUGGUGGGGUAAUGGCCUACCAAGGCGUCGACGGGUAGCCGGCCUGAGAGGGUGUACGGCCACAUUGGGACUGAGAUACGGCCCAGACUCCUACGGGAGGCAGCAGUGGGGAAUAUUGCACAAUGGGCGCAAGCCUGAUGCAGCGACGCCGCGUGGGGGGUGACGGCCUUCGGGUUGUAAACUCCUUUCGCUAGGGACGAAGCGCAAGUGACGGUACCUGGAGAAGAAGCACCGGCUAACUACGUG